GGGGUCUUAGCUCAGCUGGGAGAGCAUCUGCCUUACAAGCAGAGGGUCACAGGUUCGAACCCUGUAGGCCCCA
rnacentral:tRNA from 1 species